UCAAUGAAAGAACGAUUUUAGAUCGAGGCCCUUGGAACGCUAUUCUACGUUCGACAAGUGGAACAAAGUAGAGAUAUAUUUAAUGUUUGAAAAAAAAAAAAAAAAAUUGCGACAUACAUAUAUGUGUAUUUCAACUAUGAAAAACGAACAUAUUACCAACCAUUAAGCAAAAACACACCGACAUUUAAGAAAAAACAAUAAGCUGUAAGCAAAUGGAUUUUCUGCAGUUCAAAUGAAAAUCUUGUACCAGUGUCUUUAGCCACGAAAACAGCGCAAUGUCAUAGGAAAUGCUCCAACGUCUCACCAUCUUCCCCACACGCCCUACACAUGUUAUCACUUGCCGCACCGAUUUCGCAUGAUAGUAGCCUCGUCCUCUCACUAUCCGGAUCACCCCAUAGGAUUUUCGCCUUCCUACCGACUGUUUCGCUGUUCUACCGUGUUACACGCUUCGAGUUGACCAGGUUGUGGAUGCCGAUUGUGCCAUCCUCAGAGAAGGCGUUAAUCUCCUUCUUACACUGCAAGACUGUUAGUGACCUUACCUUCCUGGUUGUUAUUGCCCUUACGGCCAUUUUACUGUCCGUAAAGAAGUUCACAUUCGACGUUCACGCGUUAGUCCCACUACCUCACGCAUUCCGUGAUCGCCGGAUUCCGGAUCUCCGCCUGCAGAACCGUUCUGGUUUCUCAAUGUAGACCCCAGGCCCACUCUGUCCUCUAGCUUUGUUCCACCCAUGUAACAUGAUCUUCCAGAUGGCAAUAUAUGGGCUACGUCUAUCCAACACUGUGCCGCUGGCAGCAGUGCCUCGGAUUCGACCUCAAGUGUCGUUCUAGGUAUCCGAUGGAAAACCUCUUCCCUUUCUUUCAGGACUAUCCUCGGUUUCCAUUUCGAGCCUGCGGCCCGUCUGCAUAGUGCCCAACAUUUGUGAGUCUUCUCAGUGCACUCCUGUAAAUCAUAAGAAAACUUCUUCUUGUUUAAAAAAAAUGUAACGUGAAAAUUUAACUUAAAAUUAAUUAUUUUCAACAUAACUUUGCGACGAGGCCAUUUUCUAUUCACAUUGUUAAGCCAACAUAUUUAUGUGAAAUAGCUCAAUUGUUAAUUUGUGUAAAACAGUAGAUGACAAUAUUCAUUUCCGAUUCGGAAAUGUCAUGACGAUCAAGAAUAUAUAUACUUUAUGAAGUCUCAGACGAGACGAAUAUUGCGAGUAGUUACAACCAGAAUGACGAAAUUAGUAUGCCCCAAUCCUAUGGUGGAGGGUAUAAAAACCGAAAGUGUGGUUUUUGAUUAUUUAUCGAUUAAAAAAAAUCAUUUAUUUAAUAAUAAUUGUUGAGUAUAAACUCUAUAUAUAUAUUUUAAAAGGUGUUAUGCUGAACUAGUGUAAAGCAGAACCAAUUAGGAUGUAAACAAAUGAAAUAGAUACAUUCCAAACGAAACAAAUUUAAGGACAUGAGAGAAGGUGGACGUGGUAUUUAUAAAUACAUUUUUAUUUUAAUAUGUUAUUAUCCCUAUUAAGACUAUAUUGGCUUGGAAAACGAGGUUGAUGACGGCAGCUAAGAAUUGCAGAUUUCUUUAAUGUAGAUCUUGAUGUCGUGGUAUUGUGCGCAAAAUGCUAAGAUUGGUAUUUAUUACGAUUCACUUUAAUAUGUAUAUAUGUAAAUUAUUUUGUUCUUUAUACUUUUUACAAACGGUAUCCACGACGAUGAUACCGCUUGUAUUGGGUUGCCCAAAAAGUAAUUGCGGAUUUUUCAUAUAGUCGGCAUUGACAAUUUUUUUCACAGCUUGUGACUCUGUAAUUGCAUUCUUUCUUCUGUCAGUUAUCAGCUGUUACUUUUAGCUUGCCUUAGAAGAAAAGUGUAAAAAAAGUAUAUUUGAUUAAAGUUCAUUUUAAGUUUUAUUAAAAAUGCAUUUACUUUCUUUUA